GAAGGGCUUUUGUUACUGAUAUAGACAAGCUGAAGCUUAGCAGUAAAACAAGAGCUUUGGAAGCUGAGAAAGUUUUAUUAUAUCUCUCAGAAAUUACGAAGGAUGGCAUUGCACCUGGUGCAAAUCUAUUACAUGCAGUGGAAGUCCUUGUAUCGGGGCCAGUUGAUAAACAAUCAUUUCUUGAUUCUGGGAUCUUUUGCUGUCUUAUUCAUGUCCUAAAUGCUCUUCUUGCUCCUGAUGGUGACAGUCAUUUUAAAAAGUCAAGUCACAGUGAAGCCUUGUCAACAUUUGUAGAA